UGGGGAAUAUUGGGCAAUGGGCGCAAGACUGACCCAGCAACGCCGCGUGAGGGAAGAAGGCUUUCGGGUUGUAAACCUCUGUCCUUGGUGACGAAACAAAUGACGGUAGCCAAGGAGGAAGCCCCGGCUAACUACGUGCCAGCAGCCGCGGUAAUACGGAGGGUGCGAGCGUUAAUCGGAAUUACUGGGCGUAAAGCGUGCGUAGGCGGUUGGGUCAGUCAGCCGUGAAAGCCCCGGGCUUAACCUGGGAACGGCGGUUGAGACGGCCCGACUUGAGUGGGCUAGAGGAUCGUGGAAUUCCGGGUGUAGCGGUGAAAUGCGUAGAGAUCCGGAGGAACACCGAUGGCGAAGGCAGCGGUCUGGGGCCACACUGACGCUGAGGCACGGCGGCGUGGGGAGCAAACA
rnacentral:rRNA from 1 species